GGUAUUUUUCAGGGGUCUCUGGUGAGUCUGAUGAGCUUGGAGGCAGAGGUAAGUCGUCACCUCCACUGGGAUCUGUCAAAACAAACUCAGCAAUUCAGAUCCAGGUUUUGUGAGUGGCAUUGAAAUCCCAGAUUCUUUUACAAAUGAAGAAAGGCUUUAUGCAAUUCUAUUUGAAUUUUCUUUCACCUUAUAUCACGGGCACAAUAAUCGUUUGUGAAAUUGUGAAGCAGAAGAAUGACAGGUGACUACACAUAAUGGCAACUUUCAUGACAGAAGACGUGAGGUACAAGGAGGAAAUCAAAAACAUAUGUCAAAGAGAGGGCUACUUUACAAGUACUGGAAGAAUCUGGCUCUGACUUUCAUACAGUGAGUAUAUUUGAAAAAUCUGUAAUAAUAUUCUCAUUUCAAAGACAUCCCCCUCUGAUGAUUCAAAGCCACCCAUAGGUGUUACCCCCACCCUCAGGCUCACUGAUGUUCCCUGAGAGGCUCUUCCUAACUUACUGAGUCUGGCAUUGAUGUAGUUUACAGGAGAGAUUUUUUUGAAGUCUUGGUCCUGUUCACUUUGAGAUAACAGGAAUAAACUCGUGGCUCCUUGGGUAUUUAUAACAUAUCUGUGUGCACUCAAGAUUUCAUAUACUUGAUGAAAUGGAAGAUAUUGAUCAGGAGCUUGUAAUUCAUUCAUGGAAAAUCAAUGAUCCAGAUUACCUCUGUGCUAGUUGCCACCCUAAAAAGCAGCAGUAGUUCAGCGUGAGCAUGGCACUCCCAUUAAAGACAGUGAUGAUUCAAAGAGGGUGACAACCCUGGACUGAACCCUCUUUGACUGAACCCUGAACAGUAUGAAUUUGGUGAAGAUACCUCCGUAUAGAGUCAGAACUUCUUGUAAUAUGUUUUAAAAGGUACUUGCUAACACUCAAAACUCUGUUAUGGGAAAAAGAAGACAUGCACAUAAUGUGUAAAACUAAGAAUUUAUGGUGAUGAUAAUCGAAAUCUUAGUCGUAUAAUUAUUGUUACUGUUAGUUCAGGUUUAACAAUUACAGGAUGGAAAAAAAAAAAGGUAAGGACAAGAGCAUCAUUACAUUAAGGCUCAGUAAUAACAAUACAGUUCAAUUAAUUAUACAUGUGUUCCUUGCUGCCACCCCCUUCACUAGGAGCAAUAUAAAGUUGGUGCUGAUGCUUCCUUUCUCCUCAUCCUGGGGAUUACUUUGGGUCUUUUUUGGGUAUCUACUAACAUGUUUUACACCUUACUUCUUCUUCACUGGUCCUUAAGUCCAUGUGAUCUCCAAAGCUGCUGUACGUGGAGCAACUAGAUACAUUUUUUUUAGCCCUAAAAAUGUUUCUGGUGUGCUCCAAGACCUCCAUCUGACUGCCCAUUGUUCUGUGUCUGUAUUCCAUGUCCCCAUUCGAGGCUUUAGCCAUUACACCAGGCCUGUGUUUCUCCAUGCUGUGUCAUUACAUUAGAAGCAUCGCUAUUUCAUUCUACACAGAACAGCAGCUUGUUGCUUCUGUCUGUACAAAAUUGUAGCUAUGCUGUACGUUUAAAAUAUAUAUAUGCUGUUAGAGCAAAAUAAAGACCUGGAAGGCCAGGACAAGUCCAGACCAAGUGCACAACCCUACAAGCUUCUCUCCAGAGGCUUAGUGAACAUGGUAGCUGUGCAGGUGACUCAUCACUAGAAAUGGCAACAAGAUCUUUAUCAGGUCACAGUGCUGCAAUGCCACUACAUUUUAGUCUCUCUUCAGUGAUCAGUGCUAUUUUUUCUUUUAGAGCCUGAAAAUUGAAUGAGUUCAGUGUAAUAAAUUCUUUCAGAUUUUGCUAUGCUCGCUGACAUAACUGCAGAGCUCUGCAACAGAGGGACACUUCAGCCACUGAGCAUGUUGGCCUUAGCAAAUGACAUUUACUCUUCUGAUCUGUAAAAGGGAAUCUUCCUUCUCUCUGUAGUGAUCAGUAGCUUGAUCCAGUCUUUCUAGGGUGCACUGUUGAGGCAGGACACUUUUUUUAUUUAUGCUUUCCUUAUAAUAAAGGUUAUAUUCUGGUCUGACAACUGACAUUGUCCAAUCUGAAUAGAUUUCAUCAAUGGCUGAUUUAUUUUGAACAAAUCAUAAUCAUCCUGUAUACUCAUUCACUACAGGAAGUGAAAUGUUUUCAUUUGUAGAUAGUAAGGGAAUUACUACUUUUAUCAAUACUUUUGGUGUUGUUUUCUAUUUAUACAGAGUGCGUUAAAUAUCUUCAAAACCUCAAAUCUUCAAAUUCAAAGUAGGUAGGUCACUCUGAAAGUAACACCUCCUAUUUAUUUCCCUGGAAACUAAAACAAAGAGUACAACACUCUUUGAUAGAGAAAUAGGAAACUCUGGAAGUGCAAGCCUUCAGCUCAGUCACUGUUGCAGUGUAGCGGUAAGAGAUGAUGGCUUGCUGGGUUCCAGUAAAUCCAGAAGGACCAUGCCUUUCCUAUCCAAAAAAACAGUGCACAUCACUUCUACCUGCUGAGGGCUGCAUCUUGAACUUUGUCUUCAGUGAGGAACUCACAUGUUGCCUCUCCAUUGACUGCUGUUUUUACUCUAGCUCUUGGUGGUGACACCACGUCUCAUCACUAGUAGUGAUGUGGUCCAUGGAACUGUCACCUUCAGCCUCGUAUUGGUUCGCUUGGUCCUGACAAACAUGCAUACAGUGUUAUUUCUGUUCCUAUGUGACCACUUGUGGGACCCAACUAGUGCAAACGUCAUGAUUUUUCAAUGUUGCCACUGUUGUUUCUAAUUCAUUGAGGCUGAUAUUCACCUCUGUGCACAAUUCUCUGAUCAUAAUCAGCCGAUUCUCUCUGAUGAGCUGAUCAGGAUGCUCUUUAUUUUGUGGUGUGACAGAUGCGCAUGGCUGUCUGGAAUGUGUCUUGUCUUUCAUGUUUCUGUUGCCACUGCUGAAAUACACCACCCAACCCUCACUGUGCUUGCAUCCAUCCGCUGUGUGGUCUCUGUAAGCAUUCAACAAGUGUCGAUGAACGUCAGUGGGUGCCAUUUUUUCCAUAUGGAGGAAUUCCAUGACACACUUCUGCUUCAUGUGUACUUCCAUGUUGGAUGCUAUUUUGUCAGACUUCCCCUCUGCUGCCAUCUGUCACAGAGCAGCAAAUUAUGAUGGGAUAUCGGUGGGAAGGUUCAACCUUUACCACCAACAUCCGCCUCUGAAGUCACGGGACAGCAGAAUAAAACAGGAGGCAUUACUUUUGGAGCAGACCUUGUCAUUUAAGGUACUGUUCAGUUACAGUGGCAGGGCUGUUCUGGAUUCUGCUUCAGCAUCUAGAGCUUCAAGUCAUUCUUCUGGUCCCAUGAGAUUAUCUGCCGUAUUUGCCAGCCAUCAUUUACAGACCACGCUGUCAGCAGCAGUAAGAACAUAGCAUGUUUACAGCCUUAAGAUAUAUGCCUAAGUAUCUCUACUCAUAAACUCCCUUAGCCUGCUCUGUUGUUUUCAUUCAGAUUUUCCUUUAAAUAUAUUCCUGUGUAGAAAUAGAAGUUAUUUCGUGCAGGUGCAUCUCCCAUUGAUAAACCACUUAGGAGAAGGAAUGAACGAAUGCGUCUUAGACAAGUAAUGUGUUCUUUUUUUUUUUUUUUAAUUUCAGUUUGCACAUACCUCAGUUUUCUCAAAGAGGCAAUUUUAUUCAGGUUUGUCACUGUACUGUAAUACUGCAAUUAGACUUUUGCCUGAGCUUGCAAAUACUGCUCUGCAACACAAACCGAAGGCAAAAAUUGCUGACCCAGCAGUAUUCUGAAUCCUUUGUAGGUCUUUACAGCAAUGGUCUCCGCAGUUCCUUGUCAAGAAAACGUGCAGCUUGUAAGAAAAUCCAUUAACUCUAUCUGCCAUUUGUUUUCUGCAGCAGUUUCCUCUUUGCUCCUCACCUGGUGAUGUGACAGAAUAUCUUUUAUUUUCUAAUAACCCUUCCCAUAGCAUCAUAGUUUUGAUCAAUUCCACAUUACUGCAAAUUCAUGACUGCUUUGUGAAAGGGAAAGAGCCCAGAAUGCAGCAGAGGAAGAUACUGAUGGUAAUGCAAGCUAAUAAGAAAUUAAUUUACAUUGGCAUGAGCUGGCAAUUUUAGGGAGGAAAUAAUACAGCAGAUGGUGACUUUAUUCCCCCAACGAAACCUGAAAUGCAAGGACUUCCACAAGGUCUUUGCUGAGCAACAAAAGCAGUAAAUUUGCAUUCUCAAUUCAUCACUACCCCCAUCACUAUCUGAUAACACCAGAUAGGGGCAAAAUAUAUUUCAACAUUAUAUGCAUUGUACUAGACAGAGAUUUAAGAGGAACAGGAUGGGAAAGCUAUUAUACUGACUGUUCUCAACUGAUGUCUCUAGACUCCAUAGAUCAAACUUUGACCUACAUAGAAAGUGUAGUGGCCAAAUAAGAGUGAUGGAUCUGACCGUAUUUCUGAUACUUAUUAGAACAAAUAUGGCUCCAAAACCAGUAGUGAAAAGAGAAAAAGAACAGAAAGCAAUUACAGCCAAUAGAAUUAGCUGCAAUUUGGAAUGAAUGGCUAUAUAAGAAUAACUGGUAAAAGCACUCCUUAUAUAAUUUCUCUUUGAAUUUUCUUGUAUGUGUUAGUUAAUAUAUGUAGUCUUACUAUGUAAAGCAGUUUUUUGUGGUGAAUAUUACUUACGUAGCUCAAGACAAUUAAUAUGCUACUAUUUUGCUUCUGGAUCCUCUGAGCAAAUUUAAUAUUAUUUAUCAGUGAUGAGAAGAAAGAAAUUCACAUUAGUAGCAUUUUGAAGCCAGGGAACAACAUAUGCAGUAAAUGAUCUACCUAUUAUUAGUUAACCCAUGACUGGCUGUGGGAUGCUGGUGGCUCACAAAAUAAUGGGCAAAAGUUAAUUUAAUUAGCCUCUGUUAUGUUAUUUGGAUGUUUCACUAAAUGUAUUUUCUCUGGUCAGGGCAGACUUAGGAAAAAUUGCCCAGGUUGGAAAAGGCUCCCCGUGUGCUCAGCAGAAUACACAGAAUACAGUGCUGGUGCACAAAGACACUGAAAACAAAGCAACAAAAAGUGAGCACAGAACUUGAGGUGUUCUCUAGAAGUGGGACUUCUGAAUUGCUUUGGGCUGCUUUUUCAUGUCAGUGCAAACUUAACAGGUGAGGAACUUCCAUUCAGCCCCAGUCUGAAGCAGAACAGGAAUUAACUUCUUACCACAACAAACAGUUUUUCGGUGGAUUCAGGUUUAGGUGUAUCUGAGUUCACAGUUCCUUCUCUGACUGAUGCAUAAAAUGCAUCUGAUUCAAAAAUUUUAAUAAAGGACAGCUCUUCCAUGAUGCAUUUGUUUAAGAAUUCCCUAAACUUAAUUUUAAUACAUAAUAUGAGAUCUUUUAGGGGUUUUGUAGUUUUCCUGGAGAGCCAACUAUAGCACUCAGCGUGUCUCUUAGCAACCUGCCAAAACAAAGCUCUGCUCCAAUUACUUGUAAUCUGCCAACAGUUUGAGCCAAAUUCCUCCAGUAAGAGUAAGCACAACCAUACCAUGCUGCAUGUAGUUUCCCACUGUCCAAUGACAAGGUUUGUCCCAACUUCCUACUACAUUUUGCUCCUGGGAGUAGACUUACGGAAUAACCCCCAGUUUCAUAUCACUGCAAGAUUAAUUUAUUUCAUCCUUUGGGUUCCUGCCUCAGGGGCAACAGAAAACCAAGUACCACACAGGACUCAAACCUGGGGCACAGCCAACAGCAGCAACAGGAGUUGGAGUCAAGCAGUGCUUCAUACAUCCCAAUUCCUCCAUUGCCCUGUCAUAGCAACCUAUAGAGCACCCUUGAAAGACGUGGAAAUUAGGACCUUUCCUGAUGAACACAUGCCUGAUGGUUAUUUAUCUAGUCAUUUUACACUGCUGUAUGCAAGCUAGUCAAGAAGAGGGUAGAUGUGGCACUGAAGGACAUGGUUGAUGGUAUGGUGGUGAUGGUGGAUGGUUGGACUAGAUGAUCUUAAUGGUCUUUUCUGACCUUAACAACUCUACAGUUCUAAAUGUAGCCAUCUGAGUCAUUUCCUUCUAAAAUGAACAAAACAGUUGUUUGAGUUAUUAACAUGGGGCAUAGAAAAUUGUUGUUACUUUCUAAAAAAAAAACCCUCAAAAAGCAGCUGUAAGUUCCCUAAUGGGCUGCCACAUGGUUGUAAUGGAAAGCAUCCCAAGGUGUCAGUGGAAUGAACGUACCUCUAGAUAAAUCCUAACAGCCACGUUCUCAUCUUUGCUAUUGAGAGCUGAAAAGGCACUGGCUGUAUUUUCAGUGUACCUAAAAAAAAUAGGAGUUGCCCUGUGUUUGGAGUCUUACAGACGAGUACUUAUUUGUCUUCGGCAGUUGUCCCUGUUUUGUGUUCCACUGCAAAUAAGGAGCUUAGUCUGAGGAUAAUUCAAUCCAGCACUGCAUCUCAGAGCUCUAGCGACAGGCGUGAAAUUGUUUUAUCUUUUUUGUUCUCGGUGCGCGGCGCUCAUUGGGUGAGCAUGCGGACCAUCUGCUGCCGAGGUAACUCUGGGGAUCCUUGUCAAAUUGAUUGUGCUCAGAAACAACUGAGACAGAGGAAAAAUAGAGUUUCUAAUUACAUUUUACCCGGGAUCUUGUUCGACUCUAGGAAGUGGUAAUUCAAAAAUAAAUGGCUUUGGUGGGCAUCUUAGAAUCUUUAAUUAACAAAUUACUCCAUUAACGCACACAUUGUUUUCCAGGUGAGUGAGAUCAUUUGCCCCUGGGGCUUUUCUUCCAUAUGCCUUCUUUUCCUCCAGCUAAAUGUGCAGCAAAUUGAAGUAUUCAUUUUGAUUAUAUAAAGCACAUGGGUAUACAAUUAUAUAAAAAGAAAGAUGACAUUUGUUUCCCCUUCUCCCCAGGGCCCCUCCAGGCUUGCCCCUCCCUGCAAAACAUGGCAUACGUUUAUUACACUAUAUAUUUCCCGGUAUUGAAUUUUUCCUUUCUUUUUCCUCUGUCUUUUUGUGAGGGUGUUUCUGAAACGAGGCUUUACUGGAAACAACAGGAUAAUGGUUAUUUACAAGUCGCCGCUAAAAUAAUGAGAUUUUCUCCCAGAGGUUUCGUAUGAUGUGCGUCUCUGCUGUGUGACCAAUUUGGAGAUUUUGGGAAAGGAUUUAUUUCACGUUGUCAAAUGUAAACAAUAUAUUUUCUAAACUUAAUGAACGUGUAUCAAAUAUUUAUGGAAAUACAGUUAGCUUAAAGUUUAGUUUUAUUAAAUGCUUCUUAAUUAUUUAUGUCGUAUUGAAUAACUAAUCUCUAUUUGACUUCAUUUUUAUAUAUUACUUCACACAGAAGCUUUCCGUACAAACAGGGAAUCAAUUCCUCAACCUACACUCUGCUGGACGUGCUCCCGUUCCACUGCAGUCCCAAUGGUUAUUGGAGCAGUAAAUGAAAUAAUGGGAAAGUUAGCUUGAAUAUGUAAAAUGGCAGCAUUGUCUGUGAACUAUAUGAAAUCAGCGGUGAUUUCUGAAGCAUAAUUUAAUGGUGAGACAGGCAGAGCAAUUGAUUUGGGGAAAAAAAGUUUAGAAGAUGAAUGUAAAAUAGGGCCAGAAGUGUGCAAAAUAGAUUCGAAGCAGAGCUUCCAAAUCCUGGUUGCUUUUGCUUUGUCUUUCACAGAACCAUAGUAUGGUUUGAGUUGGAAGUGACCCUUAAAGGCCACCUAGUCCAACUCCCCUGCAAUGAACAGGGACACCUACAGCUCCAUCAGGUGCUCAGAGCCCCAUCCAGCCUGGCCUUGAGUGUCUCCUUGAGAUGGGCAGAGCAUCCACCACAUCUCUGGACAACUUGUUACAGAUGUGUGGAACAUUUCAUGGGAUUUGAAAUGCUGUGAUGCUCUUCUUAAUCCAUAUCCUCAGUCUUAGGAAUUAUUCCUUCCUACAAGAAAAGGGCUCAGGAUUUUAUCCACACCUGACCUCAUCCCACCAUGUCUUUGGGAUGUGUGUUCUGGCACUUCCUCCUGGGCAUCUUUCGGAAACUCAGCUCAGUGAAGUUCAGUUCUGGUUCCUCAUCUCCUCUGCUGUUCUCAUGGCUCGAAGAGGAGAACGUGCUUUUAUGUGCAUAGGUAUUUACAGGAUCUUUUCUGUUUUUGUAUUUCUGUAUAAAGUCUGCUUCCAACUUCAACAUCCAGGGCGCAAGUUACACAUUUUGCACGGAGCUACUUUGUAUGAUAACACCUCCCUCUCUGAUAUUUUGCUCUGUGACGGUUAUGAUGAGUGCUGUCUUCCAUGUUAUUAAAUGACAACAUGAACAUAUGCUGGCUUGUCACUGUAGCAAACAAUGACUUGUAGCUCUCUUGAAAAUUCACAUGCUUUUUAUUGCUCCUUGAGAAAAUAGCACACAUCACUGCUGCAGUUCUGGUCGUUUUCCUGAUUGCUGGAGGAUUUCCCCUCUAUUACCUCUGCAUUUUCUGUGUUGCCAGGUGUGAAAUGAACAGAAUCAUAAAGUCAGGCUGGUUUGGAGAAUAAAAACAGCAGCACAGCCUGCGCUGAUGGGAUAAGAGCAUACCGAGAGUGGAAAAGUGCUGGGAGCUAUUGGCAAUUCAACACAGGUGAUAUGUGGUACAGCGUAAAAGAUAUAUUUACAAAUUACUGUAAUUAGAAGAGCUUGUAAUAUAUAUUACUGACUCAGGAAAAUAUUUCAUCUUGUCCUUAAGUUAAGAUAUGUGCCAAAACCCUCCUGAGGGCAAUAGCACCGCGACGCUUACUUAAAAGCAAACUAUAUUGAUUUUAAACAUCAAUAAUUCCCUAAAAAUGACUGGGACCAAUGUGUUUGCUAGUUGCAGUAGGGGUUCUAGCAGUUAGACUACAGCGUCCUUGAUUCAGUUCCCAGUAAAACCUGUAGGAUGUUUUGAAAUGUUGCCCUUGAGUUGAGUAGUAACUGUCUCCUGAGAUGUAGCGGUGAGAAUGGGUUUUACAACUGGUUUCCAGACCUCAUGAAUUCCAGGUUUAAUGAAUUUUGAGUGCUAUUAAUGAGAACGGCCGGGCAGGUUGUAUGGGGAUUGUGAUCCAAAGAGUUAGAAGUGAUGAGGGAACAUUGAGAUGGGGAACCGUGCAGCCUCAGCCCGAGUGCAGCAGUAGGGCUGGAAAUUCCCUCGGGGCCCGAUCACAACCGUGCCAGGCACACGUGGGCUGCUUGUGAGGCCGAAAGGAUAACGACGGCCAACAGCAGCCCAGGAGGGGGUAGCAGUGGGAGGUGCCCUCGUGCCUUAAUGACCCUGAGCAGCAGCAGCACCUGUGUGCCGGCCGCACCUGCCUGCGGGGCUCCAGUUCUGCCUGGGGCAGCUCCGGCUGCUCAGUCGUCGUGGAACUUCGGGAGGUUCGGGACCUGCGAACGGCGAGGUGAGAAAACGGUGAGUGGCGUGUUUUGGCUGGCUUCCUCUGUUCUUAUCAUCUAUGAAUAACAGUUACUUCAGACGAGAUGCGAACGUUUAAAGUUAAUUAUUGUGCGCGUAGAGUGAAAGAAUAGGGUUUGCGAAGGUGUUUGUUAGUGGUGCUUUUCUUCCGCGCACUGGAAAGCCUUAACAAGGAACCAACGUUUAAUCAUAUCCGUUCUGAUUUAUCGUCUCCGAGGAAAAGAAUAAAGGCCAGAAGCUUAUCAAUGAGUGAGUCAGGCAAAGAGGAGGAAAAGCACACAUCAAUAAGCAUUUGUUGCGCUUUGGAGGGAGUGUCUGAACGCUUGUCGUCUUCUGCCUUAUGAGGAAAGAGAUGUUUUUCUGUUGAUGAGGUCCGGAAUAGGCGAUCAUUUAACAUGUCGUGCUGCUGGAAGGAUGAGUGGAGCACGAAGGGCUCUGCGGGCUGACGGCACGCAGGUGGAGGAACCGCCAUUGAGCCUUUUGUUGUACUUAAUGCGUUAAUGGGUUUGAAUUGGGAACUUAAGGACUCUAAUCCGUCGGCUGUCGGGCAGUAGGCUUUGCUGGUGUGUUGCCUUUUGCAGGCAACCGUGAUGUUCGUUGCUUAGGGGAGCCUGCGGCUUGGCCAAAUACCGAGGUGACACCAAUAUGAUGAGCGGCAAAAUGGCGUUUAUUAAGUUCUAACAAGCACUUUUAUAUCUUUUAACCCUUCGUGUACGCCCACUGGAUGGUACACGUGGCACGUACCUAACAUAUGGGGAGGAGCCUGACACGUUACAUCCCGAGACCCCGAUCACGCCUAUUACAACACUGGUGCUUUGCCAUCCUUCAGAUGGAUGCAGAGCUGCUCUGCGCCUUUUCCUCCUUGAUGCUUUUUGUUUGUUUGUUUGUUUUUUGCUUCUUGAUGGCACAGUUAGCUGCGAAUUGGCCUUAAUGGGCUUCUCUGAAGCUGCGGUCUGGUUUAACGUGGAGUUUGUCAGCCGGCCUUGCUCUGGUGACUUAGGCUGAGCGCUUCUAAAUGUCUUUUGGAGCCUAUUCUCUGCAAUGAGUAAAAGCUGCCUAUCAACUACGAAGAGAAAUGCUGUUAGGGUUGGUCUUAGUUGGUUGUUUUUCUUUUUUUUUCCUUGCAAAAUGUUCUUCUGCGGUUGGAAACAGGUGGGAGCCGCUCCGCAGCAAAAUGAGACGGGGCAGAACACCUGUGCUGAACAGGUGUUGAAAGGCACGAGCCGACUGCCAGCGGGCUGCAACCUGCCCGGGCAAAGCCCGCUCUUGCACGUACACGCAGCUCUGAUGGGUGCCCCCUCCGCAGCGAUAAGGAGCCUUUAACGGGCCACAGGGAACUCCAGCGUUUGCACUGAUGUGUCGCAGCUGCGAUACAUCUCCGCCGUGAAGAGGUGCGUGCUGCCAGACAGCGGUGAUGCAGAUGGCUGUGCGGUGAGGGGUGUUUGUCUCUUCUAAGGUUGGGCCCAUAGAAAUCAAGGGACGAGUGCAAAUUCUCGAGUUGAACGUCCGGUUGCAGCUCUGCGCCCUCCAUUUGCAAAUUCCCGGGUGACGCAUUUGUAUCGACUGGAAGCGAAGUUGCAAAUAUACCAAAAAUUAAAAAAUAAAAACGAAUGCAAAAGUGUCUUGCGAUCUUGAAACCUCACGUCCCUUGAUCAGAACGGACAGCAGCUCUCGGCUGCACCGGGCGCUGCACGGCGCUCUCCCCGUGCCCCGGCCGCGCCUCAGCAGCGUUCGGCCGUUGCUGAGCGAUGGGCGGGAAGGGCGCGCCCGGGUUGGGCCGCGCUGUCCCUCAGCCUGCGGCCGAGGCGCGGGGCGGUCGUGACUCGCACAAACAGCGGCUUAAUGUCGUUAUAGCGCUGUGGGAGCGUUAUUUGCGUCUCCGGUACUCUGCCGCUUCAAGCAAGUGUUUCAUUCCCUCGCUGAAGUACCAUAAGCAGGAAGAAGGAUUGGAUUGUUCAGAAUGAGGAGGAAGCUACAAACAAAUUAUUCAGACACUGUUACAAACAGCAGCAAUCACAGUAUACGGCCACCUGUAAGAAAGCCGUGGGCUGGAAGCUUGCAUAAAUUGUCUGGUACGGCAGACCAAGUACAGAAUGCAGAUCUCUGAUGUGGAGACAGUAGGUGAAGGCAGUAAGCGAGGAAGAAAAUCAUGUGACCUGACUUGUGUUUGCAGCCAUUUUAGACACGAUGGCAGACAACUCAUCGUGGCCCAAUUUGUUGAGCUGCUUUCCACUGCUGUAACUUCUUGAAGUAGUUUCCUCCGUUUUGAAAGAGGAGGCUCCUGGGUAGUGAGCUGAAGUGGCGGACCACCAGCUUCAGAGGAAGACACAUGAAAGAGGCAAGGACUUCACGUAUAGCCUGGCACCUUGUUAGGCUGCCCAUGCAUUGACUCCCCAGAAGUAUACCUGCAACCACCUAAGAGCCCAAGCCUGUAAGAUCUGAAACCUUUUGCACAGUAUGUGGUUGGCUGAGGGACCAGAGAAGCCAGCUGUGCAGCUCAGUUCCUCUCUCUUCACAAGCAGAGUUUCCUAGUUGAGGUGCUUUCCUCCUCCUCUAACUUCAGCUGCUCCAAAGGAUGCCUGGAACAAAACGGCCUUCAAAUGCUUCUCUCUGCUAACACUAGCAAGGGUGUUCUGCCAAUUCCUACCUCAGCUCCCCUUGAUCUGGGUCCUGGAAACUCAGCGAGUGCUGUGUCCUGAAGCUAGGAGCCACGGAGACAGGCAUUCUGACUGCACACUGCCUCUGUGCCUAGAUGAGCUGUCAUUGGGCACGAGAAGGAGAAAAGAGACUGCAAAAAACAAGAGGGAUAAAACGACAUCAUCCGGAGGGAAAAGGCACAUACUUUAGCAGUUAAUUUAAUGCUUAAAUGCCAAUAAAAAUUACCUGUAUGGUAAUCUGCGGAAUUCUGUUGCUGUGGGAGGGAGCGUCGUUCAUUUACUGCUGUUGAGCCUCAGGAUUGCAUCCCCAAAUAAAAGACCAGAUAAUUACCCACAUUUCCCAGCAUGAGGGUGGAAUAACCAGGUGGACCAAACUGUCAAAACAAUUAUCUACUGAACUGCAAUGACGAUGAUGAGAGAGAACUCCUUUGCUAACAACUGCCAAGAUGCAGAGCAUGCUCAGACUACACUCAAAGCCCUAUGUCAUGGAGAUCCUUGCUGUGGGUGCCAGGUUGUUAACAUAGAUUGCAGCCAAAGAAUUUUAUUGUGGAAGGUGUGUGUGGGUCAGUGCCUCUCCUGUACAAAGGACGCCACAUCUGGACCCAGUACUCCAGGUGAGGCCUUGCCAGCGCAGAGUAGAGGACAGGACCAUCUCCCUGGCCCUGCUCACCAUGCUUCUUUCGAAUGGCAUCCCGUCCCUCAAGUGUGUCAGCUGCAUUUUCAUGGAGGAUGUUUAGAGAGAAGAGAUUAUUUCAUCUGCGGGUGUCAUCUACGUAUGAAUGGAGCAUUUUUCUGCUGGUGAUGUUUUCAUAUUUCAAAUUCUGCCCUCUCACCUUUGGAGAACAAGAGAGUCCAUCCACAGAGAACAAAAUCCUGGAGGUGUUCUGCAGAGCAGGUAGGCACCUCAGAUUUCUCUUUCCAGCAACCUCCUUUGGAGGCCAUCAGUGGCCGGAGCUGCUCUGCUGUCACAUUUAAAGGGAGAUGCAUCCAGGCUGGACAGACUGGCUGGACUCUGAUGGAAACCAUUUCAACCCCAGCAAGAGGAUGGUUUUCAACUGGAUACAAACGCCACGCAUUAUUACAAACCAGUGUGAAAUAACUGUAUGAGCUGACGCUGUACAGCUGAUGUAACAAUCAGAAUGACCAUUUCAGUCUGAGUUUAAGGGAAGACGGUACGUAAGUAGAAUGUGCUGACAGCUACCAAUCAGCUCAUGCAUUUUCAGUUUCUGCAUAACAUUAGCAUUUCUCAGCAGAUAAGGAAGUGAGAAGCUAUGCAAUAUAUAUUACUGAAGUAAGAAGCUAUGCAAUAUAUAUAUGACGCAACUACAUUUUCAAAGUUGUAAAGGAAACCUUGCAUUCUACAUCACUAAUCCCACUGCAGUGUACCAGCAUGCUUCCUGUUUGGUAUGGGGUCCAUUCGGUUAAAACAACCAACAGACAGUACGUUCUGAACUAAUUUAUGUAAGUAUUUUAGACAAAUUAAGACAAGACAAAUCAGACACCUUAAUUUGUCUAAAAUACUUUUUCAUAUAAGUAUUUCAUAGAAGUGGCCUAUAUUCCACUUUUCAUUAUGUUUUGCACCCUCAGAUGACAGAGUCUGGGCUUCUCUCAAGCUGAUGGCAAACCUUCCAAGAAUGCCAAGACUUUCAAAGAAAGCUGAUAGUGCCCAUAGAAGUCUCAGAGAUGGGCAUCUACAGCCACUACAGUAUAAACAACUCUCAGUCUCUUUUAUCUGUGUGUUAUCAGCCAAACCAAGAAGAUGACCACCUUUGUCCCAUUAAAUCACAUCCUUCAAUAGCUCUUUUAAGUCAAAGACAGUGUUGCUACCAUCAGCAAUAAAAGCAGCAACCCUUUUAAAGUUUUAACAUCUAAAACUGCACAUAGACCUCCACUCCCUCUUUACGAAAAGAACUGGAAAAAAUCAGGCUAGAAACCUUAAAAAAUAGCAGUUUACUAUCAAAAUAGAUGUGAUUUUUUCUGACAGGCUUAUUCUCAUACUUUGACACUUUCACAUUAAAAAAACAUUAUGUUUCUUUUUAUUGGAUUAUUGUGGUCAAUUAAUGCUUUUGUAAAACUGCAACUAAUGACAGAACAUCUACUUUGGACCUAGUAAUUAUUUUAACCAGUAAUUUAAGCUCGUCUGUGCAAUCAGCUAUUAAAAUAUUACUUACUGACAUUGCAUAUAGCUAAGUAUUACUGGAUAAACUAUUAUUUUCAGCUUUUCUUCAAUGUUUAUUCUUUAUUAAAAUAUUUGAUUUUCCUUCCAAAAGAGCUGUAGUUCUAUUCUGUUAAAUCUGUUAGCUCAGAGCAAUGUUUAUAUUAUGCUAGAACUCCGCUGUCCUGAUACUAGGAAUGAGAAUCUACAUGGAUUGCUCCAAAAGUAAUGCCUCCUAUUUAUUUCCAUGGAAACAACAACAGACACAAAGAGCACAAUCACAUGACUUGGUAGAGCAAAUUCUCAGCUACAGAACACUCUUUUUCAACAUGGCCAUCAUUAGCUAUGCAUUUUCACCAGCAAUGAACAAAAGCGUGCAUGCCAGCUUAGAAAUAUCUGCGUGACUGUCCAGAACAUGGUUUGUCUUUGAUGUUGCUGUCACCACUGCUGAAACACACCACCCACCACCUCCCUGUGCUUACAUCCACUGUUUGGCCACCAUAAAUGUCCAGCAAACGUCACUGAAUGUCAGUGGAUACAUUUUUUUGUCUACACGGAGGAAUUAAGUGACACACCUUUGCUUCAUCUGCACUUCCAUGUCAGAUGCCAUUCUGUCAACCUGCCCCUCUGCUGCCAUCUGUCACACAGCAACAGCAUGCAACAGAAUAUUUGUAGAAGGUUCAACCUCUACUGGUAUACCACCAUCUGCUUCUGAAGUCAUGGGCCAACAAAAUAAAAUAGGGGGCAUUUCCUUUGGAGCUGCCCUCAUGCAGUGCAGGAAGUCAGUAUUAUAUCUAAGGAAUCGCUGGAGUAACUGAAUCCAUUUUUUUCCAGUGCAGCUCCAUUCAGUAAUUAACAGGAUACACAAAGACAUGCUACCUAAGGUAGCAUCCAUCCCCUGUUAUACAUGGAACAACAUACUGAAAUACAAACACCUCAUUAAACUGCUAUACGUUGGCCUUCAUCACAGAAUAAGGAGAAUUCUCUUUUAUAUUUUCUAAAAGCAGAGUUACAUUCUAGAAAACUAACCUAAUAUUUGGUCCCUGCAUUUGGAAAGUGAUGAAUAUUUCUUGUAUUUUCAUGAUCUGUGGUACUUCCUAGCAGUAACAAAUACAAAGACACUUGGUCCAGACCCUUUAUCUAUGCAGUAACCUUACCUAGAGAGUCCUGCUUUAGGUUUGGACGGAGAGUUCAGUGAGGCAACUCAGUCCCAUUUAAGACUCUUUGCAAUAUUAUUAUUAUUAUUAUUAUUUUUUUUUUGUGCAUAGAAUUUUGGUGUGUAGAAUUUUAGAUUUCAUUGCUUUUCUCUACAAUUUUUAGACUGUGAAGAACACUUUGGAAAAUGCCCAUAUGAAGAUACUACUAAAGGUAUGCUAAAGUGGGAUGUUCUGUGAAACAUCCUUUACGACCAGAAAUCACUCACUGCCACCACAAGGUGGUGCGUGGUGUCGCCAGUUUUUUUAUUUUGCUCUGGUGACAUCUUUAGCAAAGUAGUUGGUCUUUAAGAAAAGGGAGGUGUAAAGACCUAGGGAGAGAAAGCCAAGUCACAUCGAUGGCUGGCAUUACGCUCACACAAAGGGAGAUGUUAGAUUAUCACAGAUGUUUGCUUUGUUUACCCUAUGUUUUCCUAUCAGAGUCUGUGAGAGAGGUUUUUGCAUCUAGAAACCAACUUCUCUUAAAAAGAGAUUCUAUGUAAUUGCUUAUAUUUAUCAAUAAAUUCUUAAAGUCUUUUAAGUCAGCAAAUAGCAAACUGUUGGGAAAGCAGCUAGGUAUAAGAGAAGCUGCUAUGCUUCUCAAGUGAAAAUAAAAGCAUGCUAGUUUAUUCAUAACCAUUGUAGGGGGAAUUAAAAGGAAUAUCACAACAUACCAAGUGCUGUUACCAUGAAGUUAACAUUAAACACACCACACACGAUGCUGAAAUACUGGACUGUGGUGAGCACAGUGCUGUCUUUUAAGUAUUCAGAGUUAUCUUCUGUCCAGUCAUGCAUAAAAUUCCACUUCGCAUUAAGCACUUAUGUAGUAAUGCCAAUAAAUAAAUAAAAAAUCCCCCUUGGCAAUAUACAUUUCCUUGCUCUGAACUGCUAUAAAUUUUUCACGUAAUUCGGUUGCUCUCAUGUUCUGGGAACGUGCAGCAAACUGUUCACUGUACGGUCAUUUGCACUGCAAGUCAAUUGUUACACCCGUUCUACUGAGAACUCUCACUCCCCACACACACACACAUAUUGAGCUUUUGAUAAAUCUCUGGGAUAAUUUGGCAGAAUUCACUGGAUUUCAGUCCAAGUGCAUCCCUUGCUAUGUCUUGAGCGGUAUCACUUGCUAUCUUAAAGGCCUUUCAACUGCCAGGGGGAAGGGAAGCAUAUUUCUGAGAAAGUGGAAUCCCUCCAAGUACUUUUGUGAUGCAAAACAAACAAAAAUCAACAGAAUUCAGAAAGGAGCCUCUACUGUUUUUCCAGUACCAGGGAUUCCAUUGCAAAAAAAGGAAAAAAAGAAAAAAACAAUCAAGUAAUGCAAGACUUUUUUUCUGGUGCAUUUGAGAGCUCAAAAGCAACAUGAGAAGAGCUCAGUUAUCUGAGUAAAAUGAGGUCUUUCCUGUAGGCAGGAUCAUACCUAGCACAGUAUCUCCAAGAGAAUGCAUCCCAUUCUUUGUUCCUUUGCUCUAUUUUUUAUCUUGCUCAACAAUAGUAGUUUUCACUUUCACAUCUCGUUUUUUUUUCCUCACAGUAAAUACAUUCAGCACAUACAGCAGCUUCUGCUUAGAGUAAAAGCCCUUCACUGUACUGCUCCAACCAUUUCUGUCUCAGACAUAUCCAACACAUUGCUUACUCCAACUACACUGAACUCUCUCUAUAACCUACUUGUUCCUUCGGCACUGCUUUAGAGGAGGAAACUACAAAGCCUCUGAGCCUGUGCAAUUUCUGUGCUUCAACAGCUCUUCCUUGAGUAUGUGCCAGUAAAUCAGAGUCUUCUUGCUCUGUUUUCCUAAUAUGAAUGGAAGGAAAGGAGAAGAUAAAGAUGACUCUCAGAAGUGCUGAGAAUUCAUCAGAGUUGGCUGACUUUAGGUGCUCUGCUGCUCUUAAUAUCACUGCCAAAUGUAUGGGAACCUGAAUUGAAAAUGCAGAUCUGCACACCUGAAAAGUAGGUGCAAACAGGGCUCACCAGGUAGUCUGUAUUUACUUAUUUCUUGCUGGUAGUUUUGGCUUCCUACGGAGCUUACGUCCAUGUAAGCAUACAGAACAAUUCAGGUACUCCCUCCCUCACUCAACAAUGGAAGUUCAGACUGUUUACUGUAAUCUUCCUGGCUUUCCAAAUUCAUAAAACACCACAUAAAUUACCACGCAAGGGUGUUGUGAGGGUAAUUACAAAAACAAAAGAUUUGCAGAACAUCUGUAAAAAAGCCAAUUCUCAUUUGGAGUAACUCUUUUCUUGCCUAUUGAUUUGUAACCACGGCAUGGAAACCAGAAACUUAACUAAGCAUUUGCUUUCCAAGUGGGAGGAUACGAACUCUGGGAACAGCGUUGUUCACCACAUAAUUACUCACAUUCCAAAACCACAGAUACAAGGCUGACAACGUGGGACACAUCCUCCAGCACACUCACCAAUUCUUCAUGUGAGCUACAUCUGACACAGAAAACUAACGUCUUAUGUUGGAACCACAUUGCUUGGGCCAGUGAGGUUACUGAGGCUGGGGUCAAUGCCCAGGUCAGAAGACACGAGAAACCAAAGCAAGGAGUCUUAAGACUAAGAUGGUCAGAUACACAAAGUUAAUACAGUCUUAUUUCUGCCCUGUGAUUCAACACUUCCCUUAAGAAAAGACCUGGAGAGGUUACCUGCUGGCAGCCUUUUAACAGAAUAACUAAACAACACCUAUAAGAUCUGCUCCUUUAAUAUACAUUAGUUAUACAAAAGCAGCAUUAAGUAUGUACUUUAUCCAGGUAUAUCUACAUUUUAUACAGUAUUUAUAAAUUAAAUUAAAUAUAGGUAUAUAACCUACAGAAGACAUCUUUUAUUCCACAACUUAAUUUCCACUUUACAUCUGAUUUGAGAAAGAAAAAAGACAAAAUGGCAAGCCCUUUUUCCUCAUUAGACACAACCCUAAGCAUUGUUUUCGACAGCCGGCUCUGUUAUUUCACACUUGCUCUAACUGGGGGCAGGAAUAAAGCACAGAGCUGUCGAGCUUAAAUGUAUUCAGGAACCUUAGUUUUUCUAAAAUUCAUACAGGGAAACGUAACCUGCCCUUUAGCUUCCAGUUCCGUAAAAUUGCUGUCAUAAUGUUGAAUAAUAGUAUUAAGUAGUCUCGGUGAGAAAGUGGAACGGUGAUCUUAGGCAGUGGGAAUGUUAUGGCUGUAGUUGACUUUCACACCCACACUGCCAGACUUCCACAACAAGCAGUGUGCCCAUGAAUUAGCAUGAAAUUCAGAGUGGCUCUCACCCCUACAGCGUGAAUGAAUAAUUCACAGCUCUGAGCCUCUCCAGACCCUGAGAGCAUCAGGCAGGAGCCCCAGCAGAACCAGCCUGGCAGACGGACGGCUGCGUGCACAGCUUGAGCUCAGCAGACGGGUGCAUGCAGUGUGAGAAUUCAGCUCCAGUGCUAAGUGUCACUACUACACUGGUAUCAAGAGCAAAAUUAUUUUUUCUUGAGUCUUGGAGGAACACCAGCUCCCAAAUACGUGUGCUUUCACCUGUAAUCAGUGCCUGUCACGCUGAUAACAGACUAGUUCUGCUUAUCAGUGAGGCUAAACAUGUUCUGGUGAAACAAAACCACAUACGGCAGCGUGCGUUUGUGUUUGGCCUUGCCUCAGUGUCACCAUUUUAAUAGAUAGCAGUGUCUUGCAGGGGAAUUCAGAAAAGACCUCUAAGAUGAUCAAGGUCAACCAUCAACCUGACCUACCAUGAGAUGUGUGGAUGUGGCAUUAGGGGACGUAUGGUGUUCUUGCACGUUCUACAUUCUUGCACACAGUAUGGAGCAGAAACUUCCAGAAGUUACUGUAAGCACUAGUUACAACAAUAAAUCCUUAGUUCAAGUCUCCAGAGCAUAUUUCACCAGCAAGAGAAUAAAAAGUACACAACUGAAAAGUAUUUUGCAAAUGGAAGAGACAUGCUAUCCCACUCCAAGAUGCAGUGAUUUUCACGGAAAAGGUUUCCAAAGUACUACAGGAGGAAGACUAAUCAAUCUUUGUAGUCCUGCAGUUUUGAUUUUCACAUUAGCAGCCGUUGGAGACUGUUCCUCUAAAUGGUAAAAGUUCUAAUACAGACGUACCAGAUUUCUGGUGUUCCCCAUUACUGUGGUGAAUAUCACUUCCUGUUGACAUAAAACAAUAGUUCUGCUGUGACCAAGCUUUUGUUAAAAGGUUCUGGAAAUCCUGUAAGAACUUCAUUUUGUUCUCCCAAGCCACUUACUUGCCAAAGAAGUAAAGUGAAUGACACAAUCUCUAGAAAUACUUUUUCGGUGAGUCCAUUUUGAAAACAGCCUCAGUAGAGGUCAGCUUCUGAUGAAACAGUAGAAGGCAGAGUUAAUGACUCACAUCUGCAAUUCUGAAUUAUUCAGCUAACACCAGAGUACCAACCACAGGCACAAUCAGCAGUGGCUAAUACAAGACGUGCAUGUUUUAUAAGGGAAAACCAUACCCUCUGAAGUAUAUUACAGUAAUUUCUGAAAAGAGCAACAGUACUUUCACAAGCAUCUAAGACCAGACUUCAACUUUCUGCCGUAGAACUUCCCACUGAGUUAAACAGGAAUUUUAUCCAGUUAAAGCAGACAGAUUCCAAUCUAUCAAACAUAUAUAUUUACUUCUAAGUCUUAAAAAUAGGUGGAAAUUUCACAAUCACGAUCAACUUCUGACUAAAGGAUAUUUUCCCUUCAACUCACACAAGUCUCCUUUGCAUAAGACGUAUUCACAAGGAGUAACAUGUUGGCCACACCAGUACAACCACAGCUUUGUACACUGCAGUGAAAGCUGUCUUCAUGGAUGCCCGGGAUCAGCCAGGCUCUCCUCAACUGUUCGCAGCUUUCAACAGGGAUAUUAUGGGGUUGACAGCAGGGGUUAAACGCGACCAAAGUACCUUCUCCCGCUGUUGGGAGGAGAGUCCAGCAUGGAAAUGCCAAACAAAACCAGAGGAACUAAGAGAAUAUAAAACAGCAAUUACUGGAGUGUGCGUAAUUGAACGCAGUUUCGGGCAACUCGCUGUCAGACUACAGUCUUAGGAAACCUGGGCCCUUGCAAUGUUCCAGUCCUCCACUACCUUUUUCCAAUCACUUAUAGCUGGAAAAACAAAACGCGUACAAAUCUCACUAACUUUGUUAUCCAGGAGAACUUUCCAGUGAACUUGCGGGGGUGAUGUUUCCACUGUUAUUGGUCUCUGCGUUACUAAUAUCAAGCUUGCGAGACAGAGAAUAGUAAAGCAAACAAAGUAGGAUUAACAGCUAAGCUCCAAACAUCCACAGAAGUGCUUGGCAUGAAAUUGCAGCCUGCAAAGGCAUAAUAUAAGGUGAAAAGAAAAUUUCACUUCACGUAAGUGACUCAUGAGCACCUCUGAUGAUGGAGAGAGGCACCGGGAGAGCACAGCCACAGGCUGUUAGCUCCAGACCUGUUUCUAUCUAAACCUGGCAAAGUCAGUAUUUUUGUAACUGUCUGUGCUACACUGAAAGCGCGGCUCGCUGAGCUGUUAGCCAUUUCCUUACACUUCUCAUCUUUUUCUUCUGUAACUGUUUCCCUAUCCUUAGCUUGGGAAGAUAGUACCACGUAACAUUGUCCUGCCAGCAGAAUAUUUGUUCCUCUAAGGAAUAAGUGGCACUACUUCCAAACAAAAAGGUCUCUAUUGAACCGUUACAGCUGCUCUUUUAACUCCAUUACAGAGCAGUCAGCCAGGAACAGAAGAUGACUUAAGGCAGGAGAACUCGUGACCCACCAGGAAUGCUACCUUACUUCCAGCUGUGGAGCUGUGACCCCUCAGGAGCUGAACCAUUUAAGAAGUGCCCAGCUAUCACAGAAUCUGUCAUCUGAAUGCUGCACCCUGUCUUCAGAAGAGCUCUUUCAUUCACAAAGACACUAGCAGGGAGUCCAAGUGCCAUCUAUUUCUCUCUGUUAUCUCUUACAUGGCGGUUCCAUCUCUUCCAGUUAAUAAGGUUAAAACAGAGACUGACAGUAAAGUAACACUGAAUUAUUAAAAGUGAAACUUCAGUUAUUGUUAUUCCAGAGCUUCUGCUAAAUGUGCCAUCUUCUCCUCUAGACUUCAUUUCAGGGGAAAGACUCGACAUGCUUGGAGAAUAGCAUCACUGCACUCCCACUGCACAUCCCUGUCCAAACCUUCUCAUCCAACAAAAUGAAUACAAAUACUCAUGAAAGAGGCCAUAAUAAUUUCGAUAAAGAAAUAGAGAAUUAGCAGUAAAUGACAGUCAGCGAUGCACAGCACAGGGAGUGCUAAUAUAUUUUAUUAAAAAUAUUAUUAGCACGCUACUUUAGGGUUAAAAGGUGUCUCUCAGUAGAUUUCAAAUGCUCCUACCCCUCUCGGAUUUCCUUGAGCUCAAAACUUCCCAUAUCUCACUCAUUUCCCCUCUCAGUAGUUUUCCUGCCUGUUCGUACUUCCUGCAAGAAGGUCCUCAGGGCUCCCCUUCCAACAUGGCCAUUUCUAUCUGUGGCAGGUUUUCAGAAGAACAGUGUUUGUGGUCUGUUCAUGUAACAAUCCAUACAUCUAUGCAAAAAUAAGUCCCCCAUAACAGCAACACCACAUGUCUGGGAAAUGUGGAAUACCUAUCUGUCGGUACAUCCCAUCUCCUCACUUGCCCAGGCUGCCUUUAGGGUCUUCUUAACCCUGCCCUCUUCAGCAGGCCCUCAGGUAAAUGAGACACUUGCAGGGAUGGUGUUACAGAAGCAGUAAACAAAGUUUUCCAUUACUUCAACCAUAAAGAUAUAUGAAACUCUUAAAAACCAACGCAUGGAUUUGGAAUUAAUAACUAAGUUUAUGAUCGACUCUGAGUGGUCCGACUCUCUUCAAAGUAUCAAUAAACUCCUGCCAGUUUUAAAUUCUGUACGUCUAAAUAAAAACAUAUACUUUUCCCAUAGGUUUCAGCUGGGAGUGGGCAGUCUAUACCAUCAUAAGGGGCUGGUUUGCUCUUCUGAAGAGCCAAAAGAAAACUGGUUUGCUGGUUUUUAAACAACCCGAUGGUUCCUUCCCAAAUACACAGAACAGAGUUUUCUGCAGGAUGCCUCUGCUCAAUCCUAUAGAGCAAAAGGAAUUAAAAUGUAUGAGGCUAAAAGUGGAGAUUAACCAUAAUCUAAACAGAGCUCAAAUUAAAUGAUUCUCUUGUUUUUUUAUUGUUAAUAAAGGCAAGGUGGAAUGCCAGAGCCAUGGCGGGUACUCCUGGGAGAUCAUUAUAAAGAAUAUGCAAAGAGGUAUUCGAGGUAACAUACUUUAGGCCCAUGAAUGUGGAAGGAUCGAUAGUACUGGAUAUGCAGAUGUUUUAAGGGACAGAAAAUGAAAACAAUGGCACCUUAUUUUUGUUGUUAAAUACAAAAUUCUCAUUUCCAGAUCAUUUCUUCCUACUGGAAGGAAAACACAACACCAAUCCAGAUUUCUGACUUAAAAAAAAAAAAGAAAGAAAGAAAAAAAGAUCUGAUAAAACCAUUUUUUUUAAUUUCACACUUAAACCUUCCUAUAAAGUAUGGGCAAAUACUGUCAGUUAAGUGUCCCUUCAUCAAAAAACAAACACACUGCUGAGACUGAUGUAACAGUUCUUACCAUCUAUUUGGUAUUCACAUGCAAAUAAAUAAAAAAUAAAAAGAAUCAGACAUCAAACCCUCUGCUGCGACCCACAGCUCACAGCCACGUUUUCCCCUUUCUGUCCAACACAAACCAUGUAAUACUCAUCACCAUUGUAAACUGUUACGGCAGAUCUGCAAAAUGCCAAAGUUAGGCUGACUGGAAAUUCUACUAGUACACAAAAUACCUUUACAAUAUAUUACACCUUCCUACUUUGAUUAAACUUAUUACUUCAUAUUUCAAGCAGAUGUAAAUAUUCCCCUAGUGGGAAAAUAUUGUCUAUUUGUAUAAGACUUAAUGACAUAAAGUAAAUUGCGCUGUUGGUUUGAGUUAGACAUGCAAUACACUUCAGUAAUGUGCUAUUUCCUUCUGUAUAUGAUGCAAUUCUAAGGAAAACAUGAUUAAAAAAAAUUGCUUGAGAUUUCCGUUUAUUGCUUUAAAGGUUAUUACUCACAUCAGCAUUCUACUAUUUUUCCCCUCAUCAAUUUCCAUUAUCAUUUUGAUUCAGAGUAAUUCUCUCCUUGUAGGUUUGCCCAACAGAUUUUAAGUGAAUAUAGUACUCUGAUUAAAAAGAAAGCAGAAUAAAAUAGAGGCCUGCUGAUUCAAAAUAUUAUGAAAGAUAGUUCAGUUAACAUGAGCCUUGUUUCACAUUUUCAUUGAAAGACAUUUUCCUCUGAAACCUCUACAUGCAGUCCUCUUCUGUCGUUACCAUAAGUUAACUUCUCCCAGCAAUUAUUCCUGUCUAUUCGAAACUAUACAGUGAGAUGCAACCCAUGCUUUCCUUUCCAAUGCUCAUUUUCCAACAUAGCAAAGAAUGUUUGCCUUUCUAACAAAAGAAUAUUAGAUAUACGAAUGCCAAGCAAAGUGCAGUACAGGAGAAACACAGAAAUUAGAGCUGCUUGUGAUUAGUGGGUAAUUCAGACUUCCAAAACACCUGCUGAAGUCAGAGUGGCUGUCCCACGUGUGUUGUACCACUUGUUCACCUAAAACUGGUUUCUGUGCAAAGCAACUGAAUGAACUGAGGGCCCUCUGAUGAGAAACUAUUUUCUACAAAGACAAAAUAUUCUAUGAUGCUUUUAAAACAAGGCCAGUAAGAAUAGCUCUUUACACUUACUUCCAUUUUUCCUUACAUACUAAUUACUAUUCCAGACAAGAUUUUAGGAUAACAAUAUUUUAAGCAGAGAUGUCUCAUUUUUCACUUGCUGAGUCUUGCCUAGCAGAUUUUCACUGAGUUUAGUCUGACUAGAAUUAAUUUCUUAUUCUAGCUGCUUAUUCAUGCAGUUUUUACUCCUUUCUGCUCGGCUGCCUUGAGUAAGGAACUCCAACAGUACUGAAUGUCUGAAUGUACAGCAAAAUAAAGGUGUACUGUCGCCAUAUCGCUGUAUAUUGCUCAUUACUUGAUGGACUAACAACACAAAGUAUCUACUGCAGAUACUCGAAGCAUAUCCAGGCAAAGUUCAUUACUGAAAACAUAAUAAAAGAUAAUAAAACAGUUCUGACAAACAGUUGUCAGGAGUGCUGUAGAUGGGAUUGGUCCAUCUUCAGGAGAGGUUUACGGCCUCCUACCAACAUCAAAUGGAGCGUCUGUCCUGGAGCAGAACAAGGGACCAUCUCAACCUGCACCCUGUCCCUGCUAUUAGCCAGAAAAUGACGCAUAGGAAAGAUGCAGAAAUCAGACUAAAAGUUACAAUGGCUUCCCCAGACAUGUACUAAGUAUCAAUCGUUCUCAGCUAAGGCACUGGGUAAAGCUAUCAUUCACUUAUCCAGUACAAGAAGAAAAAAAUGGAAAUUUACACAAGGCUUCCCACAACUGAGAACAAAAGGUUCCAAAAUAAAUGAGUAAAUAAAUAAGAACCGAGUCACCACCCUGGGAAAUGUAAUCAUUGCAUUAAGUCUGUAUCUUAAAGUUCUGUGUGCCUGUAUGCGUGCGGAAUUAUAAUAAACUCAGAGUCUAGAAAAUAAGCUUACAACUAAGACCAAGCUGGCCAUCUUGGGGCAGAGAGAGGCCGCCUGGCAAUUCCUUACAGCUGUAGUUCUCCACAACACAGCUCUUUUCUGACUCAUGCAGUGAAAUUUGAGCCAACUCGCUGGCACUCACCACGUUCGUCACUGGAGGACCUCCUGCGCAGCCUUCCAAACGCCUGCCCAGGGCUGCUUGCUACCCUUCUGAACUGCAAAUCAUAAUUCUCAUACAAGUUCCACCUUGAUAAACACCAUUUUGUAGAUUGCAUUAAAGAAGUUGCACUGCAUAAUGUGGCAGAAUUUUGCAGUGUCAAGGGAGUUAAAAAGCUCUGUUAUCGGUGAGCAUCUUUGAAACCUCCUAAACUUACAGUAUGGCUGGGGAUUUCUUGCUGACUGGCUGUUCCCAGUCAGUUUUCUAUACUUGGCUGCUCUAGGGUGAGCUCCACUUUGCGCUGCAAAAGCACUGAAUCAGUUCACAGAUACAGUUGGAAGGACUAAUGCUUCUUCCCAGGGGGCACUUACACGUGGAGGGGAAAAACUGAUUCACUGAAGGUAGCAAUUCCUUAAUUCCAUCUGCAAGGAUUCCGUCACCUCUAGCUGAUACAUUCCUUUACUACAUGCAGACCCACUUCUGAGUUUCAGUAGAAUCGUUUUCUAUUAGAGAUCAGUUUAACCUAAAUUCCUUAUUUCCAACUUUAUGCUUUGCCUAUUGGAAACACACAGGAGUAAAUACAGCCUCCUAACGCAGAAUUCUGAAAGGAUUAAAUAAAAAUCUGAGCAAACAUAAUAUCGUUCCACGUUUUCUCAGGAAGGCUGAUGGAUUAUUAAGUGCUCUAUGGUUUCUGACUAGGGAAGCAAGCUAAUCUGGGACAUGUCUCAGCUUACAUUAGCAGGACUUUUAUACAUUUGCCUCAUCAUCCGGAUUAUAAGAAAGAGCAAAGUCUUUUAGAGUUUAACAGUACAUGACUGCUAGGUGAGGUUUCUGUUACCCAUCUGAACUCUCCUCAGACCAAAUGAAAAAAAUAGCAAAUCUAUGUUUAUUUUAACACAGAAGGUGAAAUGCCUACCUUAGAAAAAGAAAUGAAUGCAAUGUAUCAAAGCCACAAAAACCAUUAGUGGAUGUAGCACAUACAUACCCGCUCAUUCAUAAAAUACUAACUACUAAAAGCAGCCAUACUCUUGAGCUUUCUGCAUUCAGGUACCUCUCAUGCUUGGUGCAGUUUAAGAUGUAACCCAAAAAGUGAGCUUUGGGCACCAAUAGAUAAAUUAUUUUGUGGGAUGAAAGGGAACGAAUAACUGCAGACACUUCUAGGAUAGAGCAGUUUUGGGGCUCCAGGCCUGACCUCCAACAGCACAGCUGCUGAGUACCUGGAAUUCCCUUGCUCAGUGCUCAGCAAGCAUCACACAACCCUACAAUUUUACCACAAGGGACAUUUUUGCAGACUUCCACUCAGUUUGCUCGCUAGUUGCAUGGGAUCAGCCCUGAGUGCUCCUGUGUAGCAUAUAUUCUUUAGGUGACUGAACAUUCUGUUUGGUAAGAAGUUCUUCAGCUUAGCUUUCCUGCAAGCUUCUUUAGGAUUAUGUUCUCUCACUUCUUUUAGCAGAUACAAGGGGAAAAAAAAAAAAAAAAAAAAAGGCAGGCAACUGCUCAUUUCUCAUUUCUUCUCAUUUCUUCCUGGUGCUUUGCUGUGUGGUUAUUCUCUUUUUAGUCUAUCUAGAAUUUGUGACUGCUAGGUAACUCCCCAGACGUGAAGGAAGAUUUUAGUGACCCAUAAAGCCUGGAAUUUAAAUUUGUUUAUUUUGAUUACCAUUAAUUCCUAGUGUGACCAUCGCUGCUCACUGCAAUUUAACACAUACUGCACAUUUAAUACAGCUUAGGCAGUAGGCUCCAGCUCCAGUGAACAAAUGACCAUACUGAACGGUCCGUUCAAGUCACUGACUUUUCCUAUUUUUUCUUGGUCACACAGAAUAUCACAUGUAAAGGACUGAAGCAUUAAAUUAGGUGAUGCUCGGAACUUGUAAGUUUCUUUUCACAUUGCCAAGCUACAGAAGCUGAAGUGUAAACGUUUGUUGGGUUAAGAAUUGGAUUCGUUUUUUCAAAACAGAAACAUGAUGGUGUGCACAUUUGCUCAACUUAAUGGAAGAUUUCUUAAGGCCAACAGGGAAAAACUGCUCUGAUCUUGGGGUUCUAAGCUGAAUUGGAAUUGGAGCAGUAUGUUGAUUCGUUAAUGAUGCAGUUAAUUAGAAUUAGUGAGCUCUAACCUCAGGAUCCAAUUCAACAAUAGAACAGCUAAACCAAGCUAUUCAACAUGGACAAAAAGGUAAUACCUGCAAUUUUCUAAGCACUCAUCUGUAAGUAAGCCCAAGAAGACCAAAACACACAGAGCUACAUGCACAUACUCAACUGACGUGAAGUGGCUCCAGGCAGAAUGCUUCCUAUCCCUGAUGCCUUCAUCCCUAAGCAAAAUAUACCAUUAUAUUAGCCAUUAUUUUCCAUAGUUUCAUUUGAAAUGGCGGUGUGCAGGUGUUACUUUUACAACUUGAUGUUUUUUUACUGAGAUUUAAAGAUAAGUCUUUACUGAGAUUUAAAGAUUGUGUCUUUAAACACAAACUUACUAAGCAUUUGAUAACAAAAAUUUCAGUGUAUAUUAAUCUUCAAAUUAAAUACAAUGCUUUUGAAGAAAAAGCAUAAAUGCAUACACAAAAAAAUUACAGUCAGUCUCAGCCAACUUUUUUUUCUUCCUUUCUAAGCUUUGGCAGGCAAUCUGCAUUAAAAAGGACUGAAUUUUAAGUUGUUUGCCACAGGUACAAACAGCAUUUCUUAUCACAUGAUAUCACUGUGUGAAAGACACGUUCAAUCUAUAUAUAACGUUCCAGCACUGCCUGGAUUGAGUGAAAAUCAAGUAUUUGUUGUGUUUGCUGUAUUGGACUGUGCUUGCUGCCAGCAUCCUUGAGAACAAGGCCAGCAUCGCUCACUUUGCCACAUACAAUUCUUCAGGUCUCAAGAAAGCACAGCUUUGUUUCUAGUACAUUAAACAUCUUUCCUACUGCAUUUCUUAAACUAUCCCCCAACAACAGAACCCAACGUCAUAGUGUUUAUCCAUAUUACACCUUUUCAGGGUCCAAAGAAUAUCUAUUCUUUUAUUUUUGUUAAAAAAAAAAAUGAGUCAUCAUGUAAAGCAUCAGCAGGAAGCUAUUAAAGAAACAGCAAAGCAUUAUUGAUCUUACUGUCUGGAAAUCCAUCAUACUCACAAAUCCUGUUAGAAGCCAGCUUAGGUAAUAACAUCUCAAAUGACCACUGCUGGAAGUACCUCACAUAUAUACAGACACAGUCAUACAUCUGAGGACCACCAUGGAUUAUACACUGCAUAGUACUGUGCUGUUUAUAUUUGCUUCAGACUUUCCCGUGCCAACUUAAACACCAAAGUUCUGAGCCUACGAAGUGUGAAUUUACAGCAAUCUGUAAAGACUCUCAUAUGUCACAGAAAACUUACUUCCACAAAGAUUCUCAAUAUCUCUUUAGUCUUUACUGCAUGCUAAUCAUCAUCAUCAUAGAAUGGCCUGGGUUGAAAAGGACCACAGUGAUCAUCGAGUUUCAACCCCCCUGGUGGUCACCCGCCACCAGACCAGGCUGCCUAGAGCCACAGCCAACCUUGAAUGGCCUUGAAUGCCUCCAGGGAUGGGGCAUCCACAACCGCCUAGGGCAACCUGUUCAGUGCAUCACCACCCUCUGGGUGAAAAUGUAAUAACCUGAAGCAGACUCUGGGUAUGGGAGUAUCCAUCAGUUCUGACAUUUCAGAAUAAAUUAGUAAGCUUUUUAGCACUGAAGGACUUUUAAUUCUCUCUUACCCUUAAUAAACAGUAAGGACGGCUGAUGUCACCCCCGUGUUCUAGCCCAGGAAGCCUCAAAAAUGGGGUUAGAGCAGAAGACUGCACCUGAAUCAACAGUUGCACUGCAUUCUGCCACCCACGUGCCUAGAAAUGAGAUUUUUUUUCCUUCAGACAGAUUAGUUUUUACGUGUUUGGAUUAGGGGGUAUUUCUGAAUAGCAAUCAGGCUCGUCUUGAGAUGCUUACAGAGAUGGAAGAAAGAUUCUGAACAGUGUGAGAAAGGACAAAGUUCUUCAUUAGCUGGAAAUCACACAUUUCACGUAUACUACAUCUCUGCAGUGUUCUGCCAUAAAGAAUACUUAUCCACUUCCCUUUCAAAAAGGAUCAGGACAUACUUCAGCUGCUCUGAAGAUAUACAGAACUCAUCUAAUUACUAUUAUUAGUGUUUAAUCCUCAUAUAUAAAUGCAAGGGCAACCAGAUGGGAAGUUACUGAAGUGAGAAAAGAAAUUCAAUUCUUUUCCUGCAUGACUUUUGAAAAUAAUACAAUAGAAGAUUACAUUCAUUAUAUUGGUGCGUUUUCCCUUGUUAACAAGGAUUAAAAAUAACAACUGCAUCAAAAUACAGACGGUGAUGGGUGGAUGGUUGGACUAGAUGAUCUUAGGGGUCUUUUCCAACCUUAAUGAUUCUGUGAUUCUAUACUAAUAGACAGUAUGCAGAUAUUGUUAGACAGUAUUCACUUAAGGGUGAUUUCUACCAAGAACUCGACACAAAAAAGAAGCUACAACAGCAGCAAAACCUCCAGAAAGGAAGACCUUAAAACUUCUCAAAAUAUUAUACUAAAUUAAAACAUCUGUAGCCACGUGCCUGUAAUUUUACAUUUGGACAGAUUACUUGAGUGAAAUGCAAUCAGCUUACUUUGAAAGACUUCAGUACAGUUCGUAGAUGCUAAAGCAAUCAUAAUUAACAUCUGAGUUGUCAUUCCUUACACACCAAGUUUAUAUUCAGAUCUGAUUUUCCGACUCAAGGUCAGGCUUUCGAAUGCUGAAAACUCUCGUCACCAAAUAUCUAGCAUGAUUGAACUAAAAUGCUUAAACAUCUGGUUAGACUAAAAUACAGUUUGUUCAGCGGGUCCUAAAAAAUUAAAAAAUAGAACUGAUUGCAGAUUUGUUAACCUGAGGCAAUAAUUUCACUGCUUAUCCCUAUUUCAUCAGCGUAUCUUUUUAUGGUGAAAAAGCAGACGCUAGAUUACUGCUUUAAUCAGCAUCAUAAAACAUCCUGCUUCUCUCUGCUUCCUAACAGCUGGUUUAAGAGGGAAAAGGUUUAUUUGAUGGCUAGAUUGGAACAUCUCCAAGGACAUCCUGAGCUGCCACAUCUGUAAAGUUGCACUUUCAAAGCAGGCUUGGAGUUGUAACAAAUUGCCAGCUUAUAGUUUCUCAAACCAUGACGUUUUCUAUGUAAUAAAAUAAAAAAUCAUCAUCAGGAUAAAUUUGUUAUCUCCAAUACAGGAGUCUACUUACUCAUCAUUUAACAUAAUGUGAAUUAUAUCUUGUUUUGCCAUCGUGACAGGAAAAGUUACUUCCUUUAGAUAAGUCAAAUUAAAGUCUAAUUCCCUAAAACGGAAGCCAUAUUUCACUAUGAAUAGUGCUGCUACAUUGAGAAAUUUGUGUGAAAAUUCACUUUUUUAAAAAAGAAAAAAAUCUCCAAAUCUCCAUUACUGCAGAAGAGACCGUGCAAGCAAAGCAAACUGAGGCUGUGGGGCAUGACACGGAUGUAAAAAGCCUCCUUGUAUCGCCCUAACUGCAGUAAGGGACCCAAGAAAUUUUAUUUUAGAUAAAAAAUGAGAUUUUUAGAAGCCCUUUAUGUCAGCUCAUUGCUACUUCUACUGAAAUCUGCAUUAACGUGAUGCUGAACACCUAUAAAAUUCCCAAGGCACACAGUAAAAAUAAAAGAAAAAAAAAGAAAAAAAAUCACACAAAAAGUAGUGUUAAGAAAAAAUUCUGAUAUUUAUAGCAGUGUAACUAGAAUUACCUCAAGUUAUUAUUAUUAAUAACAAGGUAUUUCAUUUGAAGAUGUCAUUAAACGUUGUUCCCACCAGCUUGGGUCUGGGAAUUUUCUAGUGAGGAUUACUGCUAGAAAACUGAGCAUCUCUUCUCAUGUCGCAUUACUUUAUAUCAUGCAAAUUUCACUGUUAUAUAUAUAUGCAUAAUAGUGCUGUGCAGAGCUAUUCUAAAUGUGAGGAGAGAAAUGCAAUUCUUCUCCUGCAUGACUUUUGAAAAUAAUAUAAUGGAAGAUUACGUUCAUUAUAUUGGAGUGCUUUCCCUUGUUAACGAGGAUUAAAAAUAAUAACUACAUCAAAAUACAGAUGAUGAUGGAUUGGUGGUUGGACUAGAUGAUCUUAGUGGUCUUUUCCAACCUUAAUGAUUCUGUGAUUCUUAAUGUCAUAUUUAUAGGAGGAGUGAAGCUCACAGAUCAUAAAUGCUAUGAAAAGAGGCCCUCUUUGGCAAUAAGUUUAGCCCUUGUACUGCCAGAGUUAAUUUUUCUCUCAGGGAAAUUGAAUUAUCAUUACACUACACAUUAUCUUCACUUCGACUUUUGAACAAAUACUACUGAAAAAUAGAAAUCCCCCAGUCUCCUGGCCAUUUCAGCUUCAGUUAUGUAAUCAGUUACAAAGAGUAGGAAAAGACAAAGAACAAUGCACCAAACUGUGACAUUUAACAUGUCCAGGUUGCAAAAUCAUCAUUUGAUAUACUGGUAGGACUUGAUCUUGCACUAAGAAAACCACUUCCAAGUAGAAUCACAGAGGUACAUAAGACUUGGGCAUGUGUUCCAUGUAACACGGCAACGAUUUCUUAUUCUGCUACAGAAGAAGCCAGUAGUAAUUGAAUUGAAUUAAAACAGACUGCCUGAAAUCCCCAACCUACACCUGGGAACUUUCCAGUCCCACCAGGAUUACGCUCUUUUGCAGAUCUCUAUUCCACCUCAAGCAGUAUUGAUUUUGAAGACCUACUUCAUUAGAAAAAAAGAAAAAGUGGGGAGGAGGGAGGGGCAAAAGCAUGUUGUUCAAUAAACCCAUACUUAUUUAUUAGAACAUUUUGCACAGAUAUAAUAAUUCAUUUCAUGAGGUUAAGGUCAGGCUCAGAUGUCUUCCCAAGUGCCAACCUAGGCCUUAGUUCUGUACAUACCCGCACUCAAGAUCAAGGCUUGAUCAGGCAAGAACAACAGUUACACUUCUGUGCUUGUUCCCCUCCCACGAAUUUUUCUCUUAUAUUACAAGUCUACACUGAGAUUACUUACAGUUUAUCUACAGAAUCAUUGAGCUAACUCUGGACUGACAUCCUGGGCAAGUAUUACUUAGCUGGGGUACCUCUGAAACCACAAACAUAUGUUUUGGGAUGUUGUAGAUGAACACAGCUCAGACAAAUAUGCGCUCUCCUCACUUCUAAAGCUUACAUCAUUGCUCCUCAUCUUCACACCACUGAAGUUAAUACUAAUUCCGUAUGGCUAAAUGCAUAAGGUUUCAUUACUUCAUACAGUAGGGAAUACAUCCAGAUAUAUGUUGAGAAGCCAGCACACAAAAGCAAUUUCUUUGCUUUAAUAAGAAUAGCAAACUGAAGACAUAGGAAAAUUUUUGCAGAGCUUCUAGCAGGACAACGGAAAAGAAAACAAGCCAUUUGCUACAAGGAAAUAAUAUACAGGGCCUUCUCUUUAAGUACUGCUUCCUAUUUUAUGUUGGCCCACAGUGUCAGAAGCAGAUGGUGGUGGUGUGGCAGUACCACCAGGUUGAACCUUCCCACCAAUAGUCCAUUACAUUUUGCUGCUGUGUGACAGAUGGCAGCAGAGGAGCAGGCUGACAAAAUGGCGGCUGACGUGGAAGUAUGUAUGAAACAAAGGUGUGUCAAUGAAUUCCUCCAUAAAGAAAAAAAUGGCACCCAUUGGCACCCAUCGAUGCUUGCUGAACAUUUAUGGAGGCCAGUCAGUAGAUAUUAUCACAGUGAGGCUAGUAUCAACAGUGGUGUGAAAGACGAGUCAUGUUCUGGAUGGCCAUGCACAGCUGUCACAUCACAAAAUGAAGAGUGCCUUGAUUGUGGCGACUAUGUUGAAAAAUGAAAAUUUGCUCUACCAAUCAGUGUUGUGCUCUUUGUACAUGUUGUAGUUUCCAUGGGAACCAAUAGGCGGCGUUACUUUUGCAGUGACAUACAUAACAAUACUUAGGGAAUGAGAAUUCUUUUAACUUUCAGUCAAGAAGCUUCAGAAACAUUUCAGGUUAAGAAGUAACUUCUUUAGGACAGUGACCCAGGGAAAUGUAGAAAGCAACUGGCCUUUCCUACAAAGAUGCCACUAGGACUGCAUGAAACAGUAAUCUUAUUUAUCAUGCACACAGCUCCAAAUCUAAAAGAAAGGAGCCAAACCACCAGAUGAAAUGUUCUCCCUCUGAAAACAUAAGGAAUCAAACCACCAGAAUAAGCAUUCCUUCUCUAGGAGCUCAGGUGUCACCAAUAUGACUUUCACUGCACUUAGCUAACUGUUGUCCUGCUUCAUGGCUGGUGUUCAUUACUAGAACAAAGCAGGAUACAGUCUCUCCACCAGUAUAAUGCUUUGGGUUUUUGUUUUGUUUUGUUUUAAAUAAUAUUUUGCUAUAAAUACAGGUAAUCCUGUAAUCCUUUGAAGGAGGAAGUCCAACAACCUGGUGACCGCAAUUUGAGGCAGUGUCUUCAUUUUUUUGUUUAAUGAUCUACAGCAAGUACUUCCAUACAGAACUGCUUAUGCCAUUGCUAUCAACAUAAAAUGACCAUGCAUUGUCAGGCUAAAUACAUAAGAAAAAAAAGGAUUUGUAAAAAGAAAAAUCACCUCCAAGCCCCUUUAUAGAAGGGAAGUGGGGAUGAGAAUUGUAUGUAGAAAAUAUAAUUCCUUUUAAUUUUCAUUUUCUAUCUCCUCCUUCGAGUGCAUUGACAAACCUGACUUUGGCAUUAUCUGUUUUUUAACAGUACAUGCCCAUGUACACCUACAGAAUAUAUCCUUUCCACUAUAUGCCUAACAUACAUGGAAUAUUACCUGUGAUUGUACCCUGGAAAACAAGUGAGAAGCUUUGUAUUCAUUCUGAGGUGAUUUCUAUGUACCGAGAAAGCUUACAGAGAGCACAUAAAAAAAAGGAGAUAGCACCUGAAUAAAGAACCAGGCACCAGGACUACUCUCAAGGGAAAAGCUUUUUACCAAGCCCAGGCACAGCAUUUCCAAGUAUCAAGAGUUAACAUGCAAACUGAGUAACACUAAAGACACCAAGCUCCUGCUUUUCCUCAAGAACCUUGGCUCAGCAUGUGCCUACAACAGAAGACUCCCACACACUACACAGUUAAUCACCAGUCCAGUUCAUUAUGUCCACAUCCAAACCCAACUGCGACACUGUGAUAGAGAGGCUAACAGAUACGUGGUCUGAUUGUUAGACUGCAAUUGACAAAUCUGAUAAAGCACCGAACCUGACCUUACGCUUCUUUGUUUGCUUUUUAAUAACCUCCAUCUACCAGCAGAGACUCUAAUGCUCUGUGUAGUCAAUUGUUCCUUGCAAUUAACUGUGCUUUGUAAUAUCAAAAGAAAAUAAACCCACCUUUGGAGAGGGAGAAUAGAUUGAAACGAUGUUGGCAAAUAAAGCUAAAAUCACCUAACAAAAUGCAGUGUAUUCAAUUACAUAAAAUUAGUAAAUAUUCUCCUCCACAUAUGGGGAAAAAUGAACAUAUGAUUGAACUAAUAGGAUUAUGCAAAAGAAGCUACUAAUAAUAGGCCUGUAAUUAAUCUCUUUCAGUCUAGGGGCUUGCCUAUAAUCAUUCUUCAUGUGCAUAAUCUAAUUUGGGCAAAAACUAAUUUUAUUCAAAGGACACAUCUUACAACAACCCUCCAAUUUGUGAGGACUACUGCUCCUAAUCGAAUUAUGGUUCAGCAGAUGGUACAGAGUCCACACAUCUUCCGUGCUUAGUCCCGUUCCACGCUGUGUUUUCUUACAAGAGGGAGAAAGUUUACUGGGACCAUUAAAACACAGUUCACUGGGUAUGCUGAAUGGUAACAGAGUAGAUACAACCAAAGAGUAUUUCUCAGAAAACCUUACGACUUCCAAAAGUUAUCCUUAUGGUAAUUAUUUUGCUGUUUUAGCUUAGUACUAUUUUCCUCUAUCCCCUAACAUUUUAAUUUCCAGAGGUUAUAAGGUGAUUUUGGAGGGGAGAAACGUAACAAACCCAUAAAACCACAUUAUGCAGCAUUUUAGUUUGUGUGCAUAACUGUGAGUUUAUCUAAAGCAACACAUUCUUGUAUGAAAGUUUCCUACAUUUAAGAAAUAGGUUAUAUUUGUAACAACUGUUGACUAUGGAUUUAAUAAAAUAUCUCAACAUUUUGGCGUCACGGAAGAACAAGAGCUUAAACGAGGGUAAACCCCAGGUGAAGAAGGAAAGAAUUUCUGCAGAAAUUCUACUUGCACCACUGAGUUUUUUGGAAGAAAAACCCAUGAAGUAUAGUGAAAAUAUUUUCCACUUAAUAAAAUUUUUUAACUGCCAUAACCAAGUCAGAUCUCCUCAGAGGACUAACAAAACAUUCUCUCCCUCUUCAACCCAAUCUAUUGUGCCCAGUUACUUAAUUAGGGAACACCACUGCUGGAAGUCCAGGGAUUCUCUGGCUUAUAUUCAUUUUCUGCCUCCAUAAAGUGCAAUGUAUUGCAGCUAAUAAAUGAGGCCAAUAUUGCUUUACAGCUCUUAUAAAGAGACCUACUAUCUUUUGGUUAUGAACCAUGUAUGAAGCAAAUUAAAGCCUCCAGCUGGUGAUCUUGAGGGCUUCAAGGAUUGUCACUUCAGCCCUGUUAAGCCUCACCUUUGUUCUUCAUUCUUGGGCCUCAAAGAGGCAGCCUUUAUUUAACUGAUUCCAUAUGAAAAUUUAAGUUUGCUCUGAACAAAUGGGAUGCAUUCGUACAGCCUUCUGUAUGAUAAGAGACAUUGCAGGUUCCAUGUUGAUUUAUCAUUAAUAUACAGAAAAAGUGGGCUGAUAUGACAUUACAGAAACCUCAACUGUAUGUUAAUUAAAAAACAAACAAAACCAGUGGUUCCAUAUCGUGGGCUAUUGAGAUCUUCUAAGAGUGAAAGUAAGAGGAAAAGGACUAAAGCUGGAAUUCAGAGGGACUAAAGGGACUGUGGAAUCAUAGAAUGGCCUGGGUUGAAAAGGACCACAAUGAUCAUCGAGUUUCAGCCCCCCUGCUAUGUGCAGGGUCGCCAACCAGCAGACCAGGCUGCCCAGAGCCACAUCCAG